rnacentral:rRNA from 1 species
AGGAGGGAACUCGCGUGCGGCGCGCCUCCACAUUCAUGUGAACGCGAGAGAGGCUUCGGCCUCAAUUGAGUGGCAACGGGUAGUACCGUGGUACCUACCUUCGAGUGGGGGAUAACGUCCCGAAAGGGACGCUAAUACCGCAUAACAUCCUGUUCUUGAACGGAUGGAGAUCAAAGCCGGGGAUCGUAAGACCUGGCGCUUGAAGAGGGGCCCGCGUCCGAUUAGCUAGUUUGUGAGGUAACGGCUCACCAAUGCGACGAUCGGUAGCCGGCCUGAGAGGGCGGACGGCCACACUGGGACUGAGACACGGCCCAGACUCCUACGGGAGGCAGCAGUGGGGAAUUGUUCACAAUGGGCGCAAGCCUGAUGACGCAACGCCGCGUGGAGGAUGAAGGUCUUCGGAUUGUAGACUCCUGUUGCCCGGGACGAACGGCUCCAACCCAACACGUUGGAGUGUGACGGUACCGGGUGAGGAAGCCCCGGCUAACUCUGUGCCGGCAGCCGCGGUAAUACAGAGGGGGCAAGCGUUGUUCGGAAUUACUGCGCGUAAAGGGCGCGUAGGCGGCCCGCUAAGUCGAACGUGAAAUCCCCGAGCUCAACUCAGGAACUGCGUCCGAUACUGGCGGGCUUGAAUCCGGGAGAGGGAUGCGGAAUUCCAGGUGUAGCGGUGAAAUGCGUAGAUA